GAGACACCCUUCUGGGGCAAGACUUGCUUCAGUGGGGCUUUCGUGCUCACUGAGUCUGCCCCCUGAGUGUGUCCCU
rnacentral:pre_miRNA from 1 species